UGUGUGUUAGUGGAAGCGUCUGGAAAGGCGCGCGAUACAGGGUGACAGCCCCGUACACAAAAAUGCACAUGCUGUGAGCUCGAUGAGUAGGGCGGGACACGUGGUAUCCUGUCUGAAUAUGGGGGGACCAUCCUCCAAGGCUAAAUACUCCUGACUGACCGAUAGUGAACCAGUACCGUGAGGGAAAGGCGAAAAGAACCCCGGCGAGGGGAGUGAAAAAGAACCUGAAACCGUGUACGUACAAGCAGUGGGAGCACGCUUAGGCGUGUGACUGCGUACCUUUUGUAUAAUGGGUCAGCGACUUAUAUUCUGUAGCAAGGUUAACCGAAUAGGGGAGCCGAAGGGAAACCGAGUCUUAACUGGGCGUUAAGUUGCAGGGUAUAGACCCGAAACCCGGUGAUCUAGCCAUGGGCAGGUUGAAGGUUGGGUAACACUAACUGGAGGACCGAACCGACUAAUGUUGAAAAAUUAGCGGAUGACUUGUGGCUGGGGGUGAAAGGCCAAUCAAACCGGGAGAUAGCUGGUUCUCCCCGAAAGCUAUUUAGGUAGCGCCUCGUGAAUUCAUCUCCGGGGGUAGAGCACUGUUUCGGCAAGGGGGUCAUCCCGACUUACCAACCCGAUGCAAACUGCGAAUACCGGAGAAUGUUAUCACGGGAGACACACGGCGGGUGCUAACGUCCGUCGUGAAGAGGGAAACAACCCAGACCGCCAGCUAAGGUCCCAAAGUCAUGGUUAAGUG
rnacentral:rRNA from 1 species